AAUGGUAGGUGCUGGAGGUGGGGAAAAUAUUCUCCAUAGUACCAAAACAAGCCAGGGAAAGAGGAAGAAGAGCACCUUCACAAUAGGGCUGCCACCAUAACAGGAGUGGCUAAAAUGUACUUUGCUGCAGGAGGGAUUCGGUAGGCAAAAAAAACCAAAACCAAACUCAGCACAUGCAUCCCUGGUUCACAAGAUUUAUCAGAGGCUAAGAAGUGGACAGAACUUGGAAGCCCCUUGUGAAAUAUUGGCAGCGCUCUACUGUGACAUACUCAGGUUUACUACCGCUAGACCAAAGAGAGCUGCUGAAUCUUCAUUAUUUGCAGAACAUCGUGUCUUGCUAGAAACCGUGUAACUGCUGAUCAGCUCCAUAAAAUCACCGCUAGAUAAUAAGCUGGUAUUUUCAACCGGAAAGAAGAAAUUCAGGGUUGCAACUUCUGGAAGGCAAGAACUAUAGAUU